UUCUCGCUCAAAGAAUCGCAUUCGAAGCACACAAACAGAGAGGCCUUCCGAGGUCUCUCAGCUAGCAAUAGCUACUCUUGCUUCGGGAGAAAGUCCCCGGACACCCUUCAUUCUGAAGGAGUGCGGAAACGCGCCGCCAUAGAAGCAACACAGCGGCUUCUCUUCUACCAAUUCCUUGUCACUCCCUCCACCCUCUCGCCAUCUGUACUGCACUCUCGCCGACCUCAGAACUUCGAUUCUUAGUGGAGGAGAUCCCAUGGAUGACGAUACGAGUCCACGCUUCUCUACGACGUAUCUCGGAACUGGGCGAGGUGGGUUUGUGGGAGGUGCUUGGGCUGUUCUCGGCGUGCCAGGGAUGUUCUGGUCGGAGAGGUCAUUUCGUCGAGAAUAAUAGAUAUGCGAUUGCCUCUCCUGCUGCGCGAGUGGCAAAAGGGGUAACUCGAUGGGGCUUAUUCUUGAUGCGAGA
rnacentral:RNase_MRP_RNA from 2 species